CAACUCUGAUGAUCUACACUAGAGGGCAUUUGCUUUCAGACUACAGCUUGAAGUCGUCCACAGGCAAACAGAAGUGCUCAACACAUAAGGUGCCAUGCAGCAAACAGAAGACCCAAGGAUUUUGCCCUGCAUCUACCCUGCUAAAGACUGGGCACAGGAUGAAGGCUACGAAGGCUCAACAGUACAUGAAAUGCAGCUGAUCACCAUGUUUUGAACUAUGUCUUUUCUUGAUGAACUGGUGGCAAGGCUAAGAGGUUGGCUGAACAAAGACCAGACAAAGACUGCCAAGUGCAUAUGGUGGUUCACAGCUUGGCGCCUCACCAUCCUACAGCACCAACACAGCAGCUCCAAUCGCAGCCUAUUAAAGAGGAGCGCUGCUCAUGCACUUUUGUCGGCAAGUAAGUUCCGCUUGGUGAAGACAGAAUGACUGGAAAGCAUUACACUUAAGGAAAAGCACAGAUGUUUGUAACUCCCGCUCGUUUCCCAGGAAUAGGAAACCCAUCGAUCCGGGUGCAGGUACAGGAUCCUGCAUAUUUCAGGACUAACUGUGGCUGUGUGGACGUGAUCUGCACUUGAUAGGGCGACGCUUAGCCACGGCCAUGGGAAGAGCAUAACGUAAUUGACUGAAACGGCACAUCUAUAUAUUUCUCCUUGCUGAACAAGGUGGGAGGAGGGAUAAACACGCGCGAGGUCACAACAAGGUUUGCCUCGGCAGGACUUCAGCGAUGCUCCCGGCCACAGGAGAGGAACAAAGGGAGGACUGCUCCGAGCACCCUCUCGUGGCUGCUGAAACGCACAUCCCAGGCACAGAGCUGGAAAGGAGCAUUUGGUAUCCAGACGGUACCCUGGGUGUACUCGCUGGGAAUAUUAAAGAUCUGCGGCGAUUGUGCUUGAUACAGGGGGGACGAGCGAUGAAAUUUAUUAGGGCGAAAGAGGCAAAGGAAACCAGUGCACACAGAAAGCUGAAAAAGCCAACACAGACUCUCACCGGGGAAAGGGAUAAAAUCCCAGAGGCAAGCCUUCCUUCACGGGCUGGAGCCAGCCUGGCCAAAAGCAGGUUGCUUACAGCUGUGGAUCCCACACGCAAGGGUCUCUCCUUUCACACAAGGACAAGCGAGGUACGACAAGAAACACCAAAGUCUCCAAACCACAGACCGAUCAGCCCCGGUGAGACAAACGCACAGGGUUGCCACAGACAAGCAAAAUAAUCUCCCAAGGUCACACAAUGACAGCGGAAGCGCUAGGAUGAGAAGGCAGCAAAGCCAAGCCAACGUUUAUGUAACCUUCAAAACGUGCCUCUAACGGGAGGCUCCUGCAACAAGAGGCUGUGCCCUCCGUAGCUCAUUUUUCCUAAAAUGGCCACUACUGUCUGGAACAAGAGCCUUUUAAAUCUGAUUUGCAUUUAAAACUUCAGCCUGUAAUUAACAGAAUAUAAUUCCGUGGCAGGUUGUCUUAAAGACCACUACGAAAUUAUUACUAUUUAACUCUCCCCAUGACGCCUCCUUCACCACUAAACACACCAUGCUACGAUGCGUACGAAAUCCCCAGGCUGAGGCGUUCGAUGGGAGACGACACGCAGUAUUUUGUGUACACAGCCCAGCAAAACACUGCUGGGAAUGAGAUAUAAUACAUGGAUAAAUGCACUCCCAGGGACUACCAAUUGGGCAGAGCUACCUUUAGUACCGCCUCGCUCGUCGUGGUGGAAAUCAGAGCCCUGCCAACUGGGGGAGGCUUUCUCCGGUGCCGUGCUGCCCGGCACUAAUUAUAAAGCGGUACAGAUGCAGCCUUUUUCCGAGCGUGGGGAGGUGGGGUGGGGGAGAAGCGCGCGUCUACGCGAGGAGCACAACUAUUUUUUAUGCUUUCAAAUUCUUAAUCCUGUUUGGAGCUGUCAGUGGGGGUUAAUGGAAGCCUUGGAUAGGAGAAUUCCAAUCUGGUUGGCAGAUGGAUAGGUUGGUUAUAGCUGCAUAACUAUGUCUUGCCUGCAGGCACAAUUCAGAACACUGUUAAAGCAAUAUAAAGUCUCUGUCAAGCUGAACCAUUUGGAUCAGUAGCAAGGAGAAAUAAUAAUAAAAAAAGGAGUUCAUUUCUGGGCCUUGCGCGUUUACGCUAGUAUGCAGAAACUGAUUAAUUGUCAUCGUGCGCUGGUCUGCUAUACCUCGGAUUUCUACUUCUGGAGUAGAUUUUGCAUGCUAAUAUAAUCAUUCUCCCUCUUGAGACAUUAGCAAAUAAUCAAAUGAAAAACAGGAUCAUAAUUUACUGAGAUUCGGGCAAUUCUCUAUGCAAAUUUGACUUGUUAUUGCUGCUGCCUCGUUAAUCUGAAUGCCUUUGACAAACUCCUUUGAUUUAUGAACUCGUGACAACUCCAAUGUGUAUAUAUUUUGCUAGAUUGACAUUAUCAUUAAGAGUGGGUGGACUGAGCUCACAUGAAUGGCUGAUUUUAUUCGCUGGUGUCUGCUGCUCAACAGCUGAGCAUCUCCUUCUCACAAAGCCCCUAAGCACCAGGC
rnacentral:lncRNA from 1 species